rnacentral:piRNA from 1 species
AAGAUCCUAGAAAUGGGUGUGUGUG